UUUUCCAGGUUGUUGAAGGAGAGGUGUUCUGUGUUUUGCCAUGUUAUGAUUCUUGUGAGUCUAGGUAAAUUGGGAUCUUAAUUCUGGUUAAUAUGACUAUGCUUGACAGCACUGACUGUAUUUUCAGCUUUUUCUUGUAACACGAGCGAGCAAGGUGCAAGUGGCUGGCUGACUGAUGGCAAGGAGGUCGGGUAGAUCACACUGAGCUGACAGUCACACUGACAAGUGUGCACCCAUCUAGCCAAAUGAGAUGCUUUGGGUCCUCUCCCUCUAAGGCUGACAUGUGGGAGCUAAGAUAACACAAUUUCCAGGGCAGUAAAUCCUAGUACCUCCAAACCUUGAGACACAUCUCCCCCUGCCUCCAUUUCCUCUGUGAGAAUUCACUGUGACAAAGAUUGGCCUCUGGAAGCUCCGUGGGAAUGAGAAAGCCCCUUAUUUCUUGGUGGGGUUUGGAAGGCAUUGUACCCCAUGAACAUCAUCUGGAAGGGGUGUGGCUAUCUGGACAUUGAGAAAAUUUCCUCUGAGGAUGUGAGGUGUUUGGUUUCUUAGAAUUCUAUGCUUGAGUGAUUUUCUUUUUCCAUUUCCCCCGUCUUUUAAUGUGUUCACUUUGCUUAUUCUGCUUUCGUAUGCAGCUUAAUAAACCAAUUAAUUUGGUAUCUAGCUUUGCCUCACUUGGCUUGUUAUUUGAUUAAAGGGUAAAAGCACUUACUUCUCUUGGAAAAAUCAUUAUUCUUGAAAUUGUUGAAAUCAGCUCCAGGUACUGAAGAAACUGGGCCACCCCACCUAGCCCAGUCAGGGCGACAAGAACCUUGUCCUCGUCCUGGGAAAGUUUCUCAGACUGGGCCUCCUAGGCAGCCUAGGCAAACUCUUAUCACUAGUGAGGGAGCACAAACUACAGUGGGCCCACUGGAUACCAUCCACAGAAAGGUUGAUUGUCCAGGUAGUGGGACCCUAAGCGAAUCCCUUGGGGUGGCUAUAGGGCCCAGUGGGUAAAACACCCACAUCCUGUAUUGAACUACCUGGGUUUCAUUUCUUGCUCCAGCUCCUGAAUCCAGCCUUUUUGUUAAUACAGACCUUGUGAUGCUCAAGUGAUCAGAUUUCUGCUACCCACGUGGGAGAACUGGAUUGAAUUUCUGGCUUCUGGCUUCAGUCCUGGCCCAGCCCCAGUUGUUGUGGGCAUUUGAGGUGUGAACCAGGGGAUGGGAGCUUCCUCUCCACCUACUCCCCUGCCCUACGUUAAAAAAAGAAAAAGAGUUCCUUUGCUGUCUGAGCCUUGGUUUCCCAAUCUAGUUGAGAUAACAACAGUUAACCUCUUCAUCUUCUGAGGGUUAUGGUAAUAAUUAAGUGGGGUAAUGCAUGUGAAAUACUUUCUAUUACAGAACUACCUCUCCAAAUAGAAGCAUUGUUGUUGUUGUUUAAAGAAAUGAAUGUUCACCUUCUUACUUCCACAUCAUUGUAAACGUAUUUGAACCACCUGUGUAGGCUGGAGCUGCCCCCAAAUUCUUUCAAGUAGGUAUCAGAAGAGUAAAUAAAAUAUUUGGAUUGUUGUCUGUCUUUUUCACUAGGUAUUAACUCCAAGAGAGAAAGUACUGCAUUGUUUUGCUCAGCCCUAUUACCUUGUAGCCUAGUGCUAAAUGCAACGUAGGCAUACAGCAAAUAUUUGUUGAGUAAACUCAGAAAGCUCAUGAUUCUACUUGCUGAGUGUAAGGAUGCCUCCUCUGUGGUUCUUCCAUUUCUCUCUUCCUGCACAAAGUGAACCCCACUGUUCAGGUGAUCACUCUGCCAGCAACCAGGAAGGAUUAUGAUGACCUGGAGGGCUUAAGGCAAUAAAGCAUCAUCUUAUUCAACAUUUCCAGAGCUGGUGCUGAAGCCACUUCUCCUAUGGGUUGAGAGAGACAUAUGAUCAUUUGUGGCAAGAAAAAAUGUCAGACAGCUGGAUCCUGGCAUAAUUCCUGAUGACAGAACUCCCCCCUGCAUGAGAAGCACCUCCAAAGACUUCACCUUCAGGCUGUGCCCAAGUGGGACAUUCUGCACUGUUUGUUGUGAUACUUCUUAUCCUGUCGCUGACUAAUGAGCUUCCUGAAGUAAGCCACUUCCUAGAAAUGCACAGAAAUUGUCUUCAAAACCUGCUCUGCACUCCCGGGCCACAGCAGAGAGCUGGACUGGAAGAGGAGCAACCGGGACAGAAUCCAGUGCCCCAACCAGGACUAGAACCCAGGAUGCCAGCACUGCAGGCAGAGGAUUAGCCUAGUGAGCCACAGACCUGCACCCGCAUGGGAGACCAGGAGGAAGUACCUGGCUCCUGGCUUCAGAUCGGUGCAGCGCACUGGCUGCAACGCGCUGGCCAUAGCGGCCACUUGGGGGGGUGAACCAAUGGAAAAAGGAAGACCUUUCUGUCUGUCUCUAUCUCUCUCACUGUCUAACUCUGCCUGUCCAAAAAAAAAAAAAAAAAAAAAACAAAACAAAACAAACAAACAAACAAAAAAAAAAACAAAAAAAACAAACAAACACCAACCUGCCUAUAGGCUCAGAAUACCUUGUUUGCCAGUGAUGGAGUUGGAGUGACUGAAGAACGUGUAUGUAGUGUUGUGCAAAUUAAUCCACCCUGAUUUUACAGACAUACACUAACUUUAUAAUCCUGCUGGUCCUGUGCUGCAGUCAUUCUGGCCUAACCACCUACAGACAGAACAAACAGGUGACUAUGCAUGAAUGAACAAAUCCAGGAUGAUUCAGGUAGUUUGAGGUUAAUCACCAAAUACUUCAUAGAGCAAAGAGGGAACUGCAAGCAAUUUGGACCAUGAGAGGUCAAAUUUCUGUGUGAAUGAGCUGUCAAGGUAUACUUGAAUACUGAGGUUAUAAAUGCUGUUAUUUAGAGUCAGAGGCACUUGAAUUCAAAAUUUACAUCCUUGGUUUAGCAGUAGUAUUAUCCUGUACAAGAUAUAUAUCUUUCCUAUUUAUUUAUUUAGAGUAUUCCCACCAGCUGAUUCACUCCCUGAAUUCCUACAAUGACCAGGGUGGAGUCAGGGCAGGAGCCGGGAGCCAGGAAGAUAAUCCAGGUCUUCCAGAAAUGUGACAGGGACUCAAUGAUUGGAACCAUCAGUGUUGUCUCCCAGGGUCUGAAAUGAUGGGAAGUUAGAAUAAGGAGUCAGAGCUUGGGUUUAAAUCCAGGCACCCGAUGUGGGACGUGGGUGUCUAAAUGCCAGCUCUUAAGGUACUUAUUCUUUCUGAGACCAUUUGCUCUUAAAAUUAUAUUAAUUUAUUUGAAAAUAAGAAAUCAUGAGAAACAUGAUUCACUCAUCCUUGUAGUUAUUGGCCAACUUAUAUUAAAAAAACUGUGUCUAAAAAGUGGAAAUUCAAAUAUGGAAAAGACAACACCCAUGCCGUCAUGGAACUUUCAUUUGACAAGUGUACAAACAACAAAAACAUUCCCUUUUAGUGUGAUAAAUGAUUUGGCUAAAAGCAUGCCUGGAAUAUUUGAAAGCUGAGAGCAGCAUCUAAUCCAGACAGAAAAGAAAGGGCCUGCUUUCUGGAGAGAUUGACACUUGAUCUGAAGGAUGCAGGAUAAAGGCAUUAGCUCAGGGGAUCAAGGUAGCAAAAGCAUCCUGGUUAGAGGGAAUUGUUUGGAAGAAGGCUUGAAAGUGGGUAUGUGAAAGAGUCUAGUGGGUAGGGAGCUAUUUUGGUAGAGGUAGAGCAGACCAGGUUUCCUUUGGUGCAGAGAGAGUGCAGAUGACAAUAUAGAAGUGGUAGGCCUAAACACUUGAGCAGUAUUGUGAAGAUUUUUAGGUAUCACAAAAGGAAUUUAGCCAGGUGCAUGCUUUGAUGAGAUUUCUAUUUUAGGAAGGUUAUUUUGGUAGCACCGUGGAAGCCAGAUUGGAAGGAGAGUCUAGUAAUAGAGAAAAGUUGGGAAAUGUAUCUAUGCUACAAAACUUUUUUUCAACUAUCUGAUAUAUGCCAGUUUAUUAUGUGCUUGCAGAAAAAGUAAUCUAAGACAUGACACCUGCUCACAGGGAGCUUAUAAAACAUUGUGUCAUGCAUACAUAGAUAAGACAUCAUUCCUAAGGCAGUGUAAUAAAUGCAUAGUUGAGGCUGUUGAGGGUAACCCAGGUGAGAACUGAUACACAGCUGAGCUAAGGCUGUGGCAGUGGGGGUGAGAAGAGAGUGGGCAGAUUGGAGAGUAAAAGGUAUCAUUGUAGGACUUCUGUAUAAAUGGAAAAGUAAUUAUAAACCUAAUUAGUUGUGGAAGUCUGGUCCAGAGGAUGGGAAAUACCUCUUCUGGACAUCCUGGAUCACCCAACUCGUGGUAUACACAAAGCCACCAGAAUUUUAUAAUGAUUCCAUCAAACUUGAGCCCAAGAAUGCUGCCUGAAUAUUUAGGGGCUUCUCAUGUUAUUAGGAAAAUAUAUAAAAGUAAAGAAAGUGUUGUUAGCUUAUUUAAUCUUACUGAAGAGAAGUAAUGCUUCCUGAUUUUUGUAAAAACAAACAAAAAGUACAACAAUCUUAAGUAUAUCUUUUCUAAUAGAAGUUGUGGCCAGCUCAUUAAUAUUAUUUUAUGAUUAUAUAUUCAAUGUGAUGAUAGUGGUUAAGUGACCAUUCAGUCCAGAGGUUAUAGAAAGACAAAAAAUAGAUGCUAAUGUUUGGACUAAGGAAUUUAGUCCUCAAAGUCCCAUGUUAAUGGUAUCAAGAGGGUAAAAUGUACACCCAAUUUCAUGCUUGGAGGUGGGGCCUUCGAGAAGUAGUUGGAUUGGAUUGGGUCAUUAAGAUGUAGUAUCAUGGUUAAGUCCUGGUGGCUUUAUAUGAGACUGUAUGGACCAAGACAGGAACGCAUAUUCCUUGUCUCUUGCUAUGUAAUGCUCUCACCCACCUUAGGACUCUCUCAACAAUAAAGCCAUCACCAGAGGCCCACCUGCUCUUGGGCUGCGGAUGACCAGAACUGUGAGCUAAAUAAGCUUCUCUGCACUUCAUAAGGAGCUGAGCUCAGGUUUCACAGCUGCUGGCCUGUCACAUUCGCCCAGUGUGAAAAUAACUUAGAAAGAAAGACGCUAUGAUUGAUCUAGAAGCCAAGCACUUGCUCAAUCACUACUCAGAGGUAAGCAAGUAUCACCUAGAGAAGUCAUUACCCUUAAAGCUCUGAAAAAAUGAUGCAAUGGCGAUACCAUCAGACACAUUUUCCUGUUCUACAGACAUUUCAUUAUUUCAUUUGAUGAGUGUUACUUUGUUUCAGGCAUUGCUUUUGGUGCUGGUGAACCAUGUAGCUCAGGCCCUGGGACCCAUAGUCUUGCUAGGGAGGGGAAAAUCAGUAAAAAAAUCACAAUAAUAUUAUGGUAUUCUAAGAGGAAGAGCAUUUAAGCAGUGCCUGGUCUAGAUUUAGACAUCACAAAAGCUAUUCUGAAACAGGUGUACUAUGUAUUAACAUCACACAUGGCAGUGACUAUUAUCAGAACUGACUGCACGAGGCAUGAGGAAAUAAAUGUGGAGGGAAGAAAGUGAGAUAAAAUAAAUCUUCGACUAAAUAUUUACCUGUGAAUGAAAACUCAGAAAAAAAAUCUGUGAUGCUAACAGAGAUAACCAGAAUAAAGAUGAACAAAAACAAUCAAAGUAAACAAUCAGAACUCAUGAACUAGAGGAGCCUGAGAAAGAUGUUGAAAUGAUUGUUGAAAAAAUAGAAAAUAUAGACAAAAUCAGACAAGGACAAAAUAAGGCACUUGUGGAUGUGAAAAUAAUCCCCUCAGUUAUCUUGGAAAUAAAAUGUAUUCAAUGAAACAAAAGUGUAAUAUACUAGACAGAUGGGACAGUGGACACAGUCAAAAGAGGAUGAUAAAUUGGAAGAGUACUGAGUGUUCCUCCAUCAUUUCACACAGACACAAUAUAUGAAAGAGCAAUUAAGAAACUUGAAAGAUUAAUUAAGAUGCUCCAGUAGUCACUGGGUAUGAGUCACCACAAGACUGGGAGAAAAUGGAGGAAGUUUAGAGAACCAAUAUGUGAAAGAUGAUUGUUAACAACAUUUUUAGGCUGGCGCCAUGACUCACUUGGCUAAUCUUCCUCCUGUGGUGCCAGCACCCCGGGUUCUAGUCCCGGUUGAGGUGCCGGAUUCUGUCCCGGUUGCUCUUCUUCCAGUCCAGCUCUCUGCUGUGGCCUGGGAAGGCAGUAGAGGAUGGCCCUGCAUCCGCGUGGGAGACCAGGAGGAAGCACCUGGCUCCUGACUUCGGAUUGGCACAGCGCGCUGGGCACAGUGCACUGGCCGUAGCGGCCAUUUUGGGGGUGAACCAACGGAAAGGAAGACCUUUUUCUCUGUCUCUCUCUCACUGUCUAACUCUGCCUGUCAAAAAAAAAAAAAUUUUUAGAAUUUAAGGUUAUCACUCACAGAAUAGUAAACUACUCAGUAUAAAUUGUAUAAAUAAAAAAUAAAUUCACUGUUGGACAUACUAUAAUGAGAUCAUUACAAAUAAAAGAAAAUCUUUUGAAGUUCUGAGAGAAAAUAGACAAAUUAUCUGUGAAUUAGAAUUAGGCAAACAGCAAUCUUCUGCUCUGACACAUUUGAUGCCAGAGAAUGCAGUAGGAUUUCAGAAGUCCUGAGGGAAGAUAUACAUAAACUUAGAACUGUAUACAGAAAAUCUAGGUAGGAAUGAGGGUAAAACAAAGAGAAUUUAAGACAGAAAAUGGGAGAAAUUUAUCAUUUAUAAUCUCUAUAUUUUUUUCUUUGGCAAGAAAAAAGUAAUUGCAGAGGAAGUAUGUGGAACAUUAGAAACAACAGUGAACAUAGAAAUAAAUAAAAUAUGCCAGCAAACUUAACUAUUUUUUUUACAAAAGUUCUUUCUUUGUUCAAAAGUAGAAAGUGAAGUUGUGUAUAAAAAUACCAUGAUGUGAACCCAUUCAAGGAAUCAAAGUGUAUUGUAUUCAUUGUUUUAAUUAUAAAGAGGAUAGAAGUACUUAAUAAUUCUAGAUUUUGUUAGAAUUUUUUGUGAUGGAGCUUAAAUCUUAAUAUAGUAAUACAAAUGAUCAAAAUAAUAGCAAUAUAUUCUGUAGCUACGAAAUUUACAGAAUGGAGAAACUAGAGGUAUUAACAGUGAGGACAGAAGGACUUUGCAGCUAAAUUAAAAGAAAGUACAAAAUCAGGUGACAGAAAUGGAUCCACAUACACCAGUAAUGCCAUAAUGACUAAAAAUCUAAACUGAUUAAACUCAUCUGUUAGAAGCUGGGGUAUCAAGGUGAUUAAAAAAUUUGAUCAGUUUUAUGCCGCCAGCCAAAUGAUAAUGAAAGUUUGAAAUUGCAAGGAAACAAAAGCUCUAAUAAGCAGACACAAAUUAACUCAGGGUUCUCAAAUAAAACAAUAUUUUUAAUAAAUGAGAUACAUUGUAAAAUAAUUUUUAAAAGAAAUUCUCUACCUAAGUGUCACAACCACCAAAUAUAUCUAACAAAACACUUUCAAAAUAUAUAAAGCAAGAAGUAAAAGGAAUAAUAAAUCUUCAACCAUAAUGAAACUGGUAUAUCAAGAAUUUAGAAACAAGUAUGAUCAAGAAAUAAGCAUUGAAAUAUAAUAUUAAUUCUUUUCUGUUGCUCUCUCCUCAAUAUGCAUAUAUCAUGUGUGCUAACCAUUUGGAAUAACAUAGACUAAAUACUUUUUCUAAUUCUUUAACCAUGUCAGUAAAAACAUUAGGUGGUAUAUUGCCAUGUUUUGGAAAUAUUAAGGGAUAUUUCUAAAUAACUUAUGGACUAAAGAACAAAUCAUAAUACAAAAGCUAUACAAAAAUAAAGGUACUGUAAAGCAAAACUUGUGGGAGUCAGCUAAAGCAAUAUUUGAGUUAGCUUUACUAAAAAGAAGAAACUCUGGAAAUAUAUGGUUCAUGUUGCAUCCUGGAAACUAGAACAAAAACAAACUAAAUCAUAAACUAUCAAAAAUAAUAAAGAUGAGAGCAAAAAUUACUGAAGUUAAAAAACUCAAAAGACAUGGAUUGGCAUAAUUCAAAACUAGUGAUUUGAAAGAAUUAAUUGAAUAGACAAGUUGUUAGCAAAACUUAUAAAAAGACACAAACAUUUGGGAUUUUUAGAGAGAAUGGUAAAUAUUGGGGGUUGGUGCUGCAGCUCAGUAGGCUAAAGCCCUGGCCUGCAGUGCUGGAAUCCCUUAUGAUUUCAAGUUCCCACUGGUUCAAGUCCCACCUGCUUCACUUCUGAUCCAGUUCCCUGCUAAUGCAUCUUGGAAAGCAGUGGAGGAUGGCCAAAGUUCUUGUACCUCUGCUUCCAUGUGGGAGUCCCAGAAGAAGCUCCUGGUUUCUGACUUCAGAUGGCUCAGUUUUGCCUUUGCAAGCAUUUGGGGAGUAAGCCAGAGGAUAGAAGACCCCUCUCUCUCCCUGUCUCUACCUCUCUCUGUAACUGUCUUUCAAAUACAUAAAAUAAAUCUUCAAAAAAAGUUGAUUAUAUAUGUGUUUAUUGAGAAUAUAAGUACAAAUAAAGUGAAAAUUAAAAAGAAUCCUUAGUGAAUACUAUGAACAAGUUUAUGUAAAUAUGUUUGAAACAUUUAAAAAAUGGGUGACUUCUGAGAAAAAAUACAUUACCCAAAUUGACAUAAGAAUUAAAUGAAUAACCACCAAAGAAAUGGAAUUAAAAAUUCAGUUUCCUUUCUCUCAAAGAUACAAAGCUCAGAUGGUUUUCCAAUUUCGUUUUAUUUAAUCUUCAAAGAAUACAAAUCUUUAAUUUACAUAUAUAUAUUUAAAUAUAUAUAUGAAGUCAUGCAUCACACACAAAAGGGUGUACAUUCUGAGAAAUGCAUCAUUAUUGAGCAAACUUCAGAGUCAGCUAGGUAAUUCAACACACCUUGAUUGCACAGGCCCCUUGCUUCAUGUCAGCCUCUUGGUGCAAUCAAAAGAUGUAGUAAUUGUGAGAUGUAUGUGGUUACUGCUGGUGUAACAAAGCAUAUUGCUUUAAAGUAAAUUAAAAGAAACAGAAGGAGUAUACUAUAAAAUAACAAUAAAAGUAGUUUAGUUUAAAUACUUAAUCCAUUAGCAUAGUUGUUUAUUAUGAUUAUCAAUUAUGGUAUACUGUACAUAAUUGUAUGUGCUAUCCUUUGUAUGACUGGCAGUGCAGUAAGCUGUUUAAACCAGCAUCACAAAGGCAUGUAAGUCAUGAUUACAUUAAGACAUUAUGAUGGUUAUGAUGUCACUUGGCAAUAGGAAGUUUUCAGUUCUAUUUUAAUCUUACAGCUCCAUCAUCAUGUAUGUGGCAAGCGUGGUGAAAAACUGUACUCAGUGAUUAGAAGAAAACUUACAUAACUCAUUUUUUGUGGGAGAUCAACAUCUUUAUAUUUAAAAAUUGUUUUAAUGAAUUAAAUUAUUUGUUUGUUUUUGCAUAUAAAUACAACUUUAGGAAUAUAGUAAUUCUUCCAACCAUACCCACCCUCCUACCCACUCUCCCUUCUUUUUUCUCCCUCUCCCAUUCCCAGCCUCCACCAAGAUUCAUUUUUGAUUAACUUUAUACACAGAAGACCAACCUUAUACCAAGUAAAGAGUUCAACAAUUUGCACACACAAAAAAACAAACAAAAACUCUCAACAGUCGAGACAAAGGUUUUUGAAGGUCAUUGCAUCUUGAAGUUAAUAUCACUUCUUUUUUUUUUUUUUUAAAGAAAGUUAAUUAAAGAAACAACCAAAAAUGAACACAUCUUUUGUGAGCACUUAGACAUAAUUAUAAUACAACUCUCUGAGGACAGAGGUUCUGCAUGGGAAGUUAGGGCAUAGUGACUCUUAACAAUUAACACUCAUGUAUGACAUCAGUUAUCACGGGAGGCUCUUUAUAUGAGCUGCCUAAGCUAUGAAAGCCUUUUGAAUCCACAAACUCCAUCAGUAUUUAAACAAAGCCAUAAGCAAUGUGGAAGUUCUCUCCUCCCUUCAGAGAAAAGUCUCUCCUUUGAUGACCACUUCAUUCCACUGGGGUCUCACCCACCGAGGUACUUCAUAUAGGGCAUUUUUUUUUUUUUUUGCCACAAUGUCUUGGCUUUCCAUGCCUGAAAAACUCUCAUAGGCUUUUCAGCCAGACCAGAAUUCCUUGGGCUGAUUCUGAAGUCAGAGUGCUAUUUAAAAUGAUUGUCAUUCUGUGGGGAGCAACUGGGAGCAACUCGGACUAGACUAAGUUACUGGAAUUAAGACUUAUUCUAUGCAUCUGCUCUCCCACAAUAUGGCGCUGGGAGAGAAGAAAACAGCUUCUACACAGCUGCCUCCAGUUCAACCAAUAAACAGCAGGACCUGCUCCUGAUUGGAGGAGAGCAGCGUACUCGGCGUGUGGGUAGCAGAGUUGGGAUUGGAGGAAAAGGACUAUAAAGGAGGAGAGAGACAACAUGCACCAGGAACAUCUAAGGGGAACAUCUAAGAGGAACACCUGUGCAGCCCCCGAGAGAGCCAGCCAGCGGUAUGCCGUUCCCCCGCGGAAGUGGGGAAAGUGGCUAGGGGGAACCGCCCUUCCACGGAGGUGGAAAGGACGGUAGCCAACCCGGGAAGAACCAGCAGCAAACCCGGGGAGGGCCGAGCAGACGAAAGAACAGCGCAGGGUCCUGUGUCGUUCCUCCACGAAGAGGGGGAGCGACACAUUCUAUGAAUCUGUUGUGUGGACUGCAUCCCUUAUUGGAGCAUUCACUCCUUUUAAUUCUGUUAUUAUUGCCAGACCCUUAAUCCUAUCCAUAUGAUCACUUUCACACUUAAGAUGGUGUUUUUACCACCCAGCUUAAGAGGAUUUGGGGUCCCAUGUCAAGUUUUUAAACUAUACUCUUAGAGGUAAGUCUGUAGGAAUAUAUGCAGAACUAUAUAGCUUUACAUUAUGAACUUCAUACACUUCAUAGUUAAAACUUUAGGAAAAUGCUGAUUCCCUCCAUUUUUCCCACCCUCCCAACCAUAUUCCCAACCUUCUUCCUCUUCUCUCUCAUAUUCCUACUCUUAUUUUUCACUGAGAUCUAUUUUCAGUGGACUUUGUACACACAUGUUCAACUUUGUUAAGUGAAGAGUUCAACAAAUAGUAUUUUAAAAAACUGUUCUCAACAAUCAAGACAAGGGCUGUUCAAGUCAUUCCUUCUCAAAGUGUCAAUUUCACUUCUACAGAUUGGUUUUAGAUGCUCUGUUAGUUAUUGCAGGUCAGGGAGAACACAUAGUAUUUCUCCCUUUGAACUGGCUUAUUUCACUAAGAAUGUAGUUUUCCAGAUUUAUCUAUUUUUUGUAAAUGACUGGAUUUCAAUUUUUACCACUGUGUAGAAUUCCAUAGAAUACAUAUCCCAUAAUUUUUUUACCCAGUCUUCAGUUGAUGGACAUCUGGGUUGAUUCCAUAUCAGCUGUUGUAAAUUGAGCUGCAAUAAACAUGGGGGUACAGAUAACUCAUAUGCUGAUUUCCUUUCCUUUGGGUAAAUUCCCAGGAAUGGGAUGGCUGGGUCAUAUGGUAGUUCUAUAUUCAUAUUUCUGAGGUAUCUGCAUACUGUUUUCCAUAGUAGUUUUACCAGUUUAUAUUCCCACCAACAGUGGGUUAGGGUACCUUUUCCCUCACAUCCUUGCCAGCAUUAGUUGUUUGUUGAUUUUUAUAUGAAAACCAUUCUAACUGUGGUGAGAUGAACCUCAUUGUGGUUUUGAUUUGCAUUUCCAUGAUGGCUAGUGAUCCUGAACAUUUUUUCAUGUAUCUGUUGGCCAUUUGGAUUUCCUUGUUUGAAAAAUGUCUGUUUAAGUUCUUUGCCCAUUAUUUUUUACUGGGUUGUUUGUUUUGUUGUUGUUGACUUUAUUGAUCUCUUUAUAUAUUUGGAUAUUAAUCCAUUAUCAGUUGCAUAGUUUGCAAAUAAUUUCUCCCAUUCUGUCGGUGCCUCCUUACUUUCCUGAGUGUUUCUUUUGCAGUGCAGAAACUUCUCAAUUUAAUGUUUUGUAAUUGUCAUCACAGAGAUCUUUGAUAUCCUGGGUUAAAUUUAUUCCAAGGUAUUUGAUUUUUUUUUUUUUGUAUUUCUUGUGCAUGGGAUUGAUCUUAGAAGUUUGUUCUUAGCCAUGGUACUGUCUGUGUUACAAAGGCUGUUGAUUUUUGUGUAUUGAUUUUAUAUGUUGCCGCUUUACCAAACUCUUUUAUGAGCUUCAAUAGUCUCUUGGUGGAGUCUUUUGUUGAGGUGGAUUUGUUCUGAGAGGAGGAGUGUGGUGGGGGCAAGAGGUGCGGAGUCACCACACAGACCCCGGGAGUUGGGUGAAAGCAGGCCAGAGGCGAGCAGCCUGCAGACUCAUUUAUUUCAGUUGGUACACCAGCUUAAAUAGCCAAGGCAGCCAAUCUGGUCAAGGGGCAGUCUAUGCCCUAACCAAUCACAGCCUGUUGCCAGGCAGUUUCUGAAGCCAUCCAAUCAUGGCCUGUUGCCAGGAAGGCUCCGUUGUCAUGUGGUUUCUGAAGCCAUCCAAUAACAGCCUAAGCCAGGCAGGAGCCAUUGCCAGUGGCCAUCUUGGCAUGGCCUUCUCAUUCCACCACAUUUCCCCCUUUUUGUUUAUUUUUGUGAAAUGGGAGGCAUGAUUCUUGGCCAUACCAUUGUUGACCCCAUUUCCAUGUGGUCUCCAUACAUGGCUGUGCUUGUCUUAGGUUGUCCCCCAGGGGAUCUUACCCGUCAUUGACUAACCAGCGCUUAAAACGGGAUACCACAGGAGUGCUUUCUCAGAUGCAGGUAGGAAUGAGGAACAAUGGUAAUCAGGAAUGGCGUGACCACACACAGGCUGUGGGCUGUUUGAGUGGCUGACCAGAGUUAAGUGGGGUGUAAAGCAGUAGCGGAUGUGGCUAUGGUCAGUUCCUCAGGGUAGGAUGAUAGGGGAGGUGCGUCUGUUAACAAGGCGGGCUCUCAGUCUUGUUCAGCUGGUUCUGGUUGACUGUCAGUUGCAGGCUUGAUGUUUCUGGCUGGUACCCAAAUAGGCUGUCCCAUAUUCUCUGGAAAGACACAAGCAUAUCCUCAGCCCUUGGUUAGCAGAGGGUGUGGUCCUUUCCAUUCUCAUGUCAGGGAGUCUUUCCACCUAACCAUAGGGGCUGAGGUCUGGGAUAGAAAGGUCCCCAGUGUUUAUAAGCUGGGCUGAUCCUUUGGGAAUAGAAAGUAAGAAAAUUAAUAUUGAAAAGGACCUCAGUCAAAGCAAGCUGUGGGUCUCGGGCAUAUGAUUGUUUUUCUGUCUUUGUAAGAGAUCUUUAAUCGUCCUAUGAGUUCUUUCAAUGACUGCCUAUCCCUGCAGGUUGUAUGAGAUACCUGUGGAAGACUGUAUGUUCCAGAAUCUCAGGAAAGAAUUAAAUUCCUGUGAUGUAUAUGCUGGCCUGUUAUCAGUCUUUAUGGUCCAAGGGACACCAAGGAUCAGCAUGGCUGACUUAACCGCCUUUAUCACAUUACUAGCCUUUUCUCCUGAUUGGGCUGUUGCAAAUACAGCCUUUGAAUAAGUAUCUACCACUACAUGGACAAACUUAAGUUUACCAAAGGAGUUAAUGUGGGUGAUGUCCACUUGCCAGAGCUUAUUAGGAGCAAAGCCUUGUGGGUUCACUCCUGCUUGUUGCAGUGGGCCUAACAGGGAGGGGGGGGCACAGUUCUUGCAAGAGUGCACUAGGUGUUUGCAUUGGCUCAUUGUUAGCUCCAGGAAAAGCAAUUUUAUGUUGUUUACUGACAUACGAAAUUUUUGGUGUAGAAUAUGGGCUUUUUCUAGGUGUCCGAUGGAAGCCGUGUUGCAGGAGAUAAGACAAUCAACCUUUUUGUUGCCUUGGAAAAUAAAGCCAGGUAACCCAGUAUGUGAUCUUCGUGUGAGAUAUACCAUGGGUGUUUUCUAUUCUCAGUUAGCUCUUUAAGUGUUGUGAACAUCUGGUCAAUUGGCUUAUUGGUUGGGUUAAAGACUGCAAAAGGGAUCUUCUUUGCUACCUGUACUGAGUAUUUGCUGUCCAAAAAUAUAUUUACUGGCCCAUCCUGGCUAAGGAGUAGAACCUUGACUAUUGCCCUUAUUUCUCUCAACUGUACUGAUCCCCCAUGUGGUUCUACAUAGGUCUUAUCUUUUUCUGUGGAGGAUUUGAUCACUAUUUCAAACAGUGACUUGGCGUCUGUAAACAUACAUGGAGCCAUGGGUAUAGGUUGAUUAGCAGGUAAAGCAUGUUUUGAAUAGUAUGUUUCUAAGGUUUGUAACAUCUGCAGUAGUCUGUCCACUGGUAGGUGAUUGUCAACCUGUCCUGGGAAAUUUAUCAUUAAAGUUUGAAAGAGCAUGCUAUUCUUCAUCAAUGUGAACAGUUUUAAAUGUGAUAGGGGAGGACCACUAUGUCUGGCCCUGUGUUAAAUAUCUUAUUGGCAUAAUAUCUUAAUUUAAGUCCCAUCAUAAGGAUGGCGUCUACUUUGUUAACUAUUUUAUGACACUGGCUCCAGACUAUGUGUGCCCAAAAAAGUGGUCCGUGUUGUUGCCUAAUAACUCCUAAGGGGUCUUGAGAGUAGAUAUGGUUAUGGCAAAUAGGGGCACCUGAGAGUCUUAUCUAUAGGUUUUUAAAUUUGACAACUGACUGUUGAUGAACAACUUAAUAUGUUAUCCCUCUUAGUAUUUUUUUUUGUUUGUUCUACUUAAUACUUUUGGUUGAAUACUGUAAUCAACACACAAUUAUUCUUAAGUGCUGAAACUUAACUGAAAAGUGAUUGCUGUUAAAUAUAAGAGUGGGAAUAAGAGAGGGAAGAGAUGUGCAAUUCGGGACAUGCUCAAGCUGACUUACCUCAAACGGUAGAGUUAGAAACAUACCAGGGGAUUCCAAUUCAAUCCUGUCGCUCCCCCUCUUCGUGGAGGAACGACACAGGACCCUGCGCUGUUCUUUCGUCUGCUCGGCCCUCCCCGGGUUUGCUGCUGGUUCUUCCCGGGUUGGCUACUAUCCCUUCCACCUCCGUGGAAGGGCAGUUCCCCCUGGCCGCAUUCCCCACUUCCGCAGGGGAGCGGCACACCGCCGGCCGGCUCUCUCGGGGGCUGCACAGGUGUUCCCCUUAGAUGUUCCCCAUAGAUGUUCCCGGUGCAUGCCGUCUCUCUCCUUCUUUAUAGUCCUCCUCCGCCAAUCCUAACUCGGCUGCCCACACGCCGAGUACGCUGCUCUCCAAUCAGGAGCAAGUCCUACAGUUAAUUGGUUGAACUGGAGGCAGCUGUGCGGAAGCUGUUUACUUCUCUCCCAGCGCCAUAUUGUGGGAGAGCAGAUGCAUAGAAUAAGUCUUAAUUCCAGUAACUUAGUCUAGUCCGGUUGCUCCCCACAGAUCCCCCUUUCUUUUUAUUUUUUGGCGUUGAUACGCGCCUGUCUUCGGUGUCCCGCGGCACACACUCUGCUCUACUUGCUAGAGUUGCCACAGGCUCUUACAAGUCCUAUCCAUCAGGCAAACCGAAUCCGGGUCCUCUCUUCGCCAUGUUGUGAGGAGGUUUUUAGGCGCUGAUGCGUGCCUGUGUUCGGUGCCCUGCAGCGCAUGCUCUGGUCGAGCCUGCAGGGGCUUACAAAACCUAUCAGGCAAACCGAAUCCAAGCCUUCUCAUUGCCGUAUUGUGGGGGAGACUUAUUAGUGUUGGUUUGUGCCUAUCUUCGGUGACCUGCAGCUCAUACUCUGGUCGAGCUGCUUGCUGGCGCUUACCGCCUUAAAUCAGGCAGACCGAAUCCAAGCUUAAUAUUGUUGUAUUGUGGGGAAGCCUUACUGAUGUUAAUUCGUGCCUGUCUUCGGUGACCUGCGGCGCAUAAGCUGCUAGCUGCCCGCAGGUGCUCAUCGCCUCACUUGAUUAGGCAGACCGAAUCCAAGCUCUCACAUUGCAGUGUUGUAGGGAGGCCUUUUUAUUUCUCUAUUUCUCUAUCUCCGGGCAUUCCUAUUUCUCCCAUUUUACUUCUAUCUUCCAGCAUUCCUAUUUUUCUCACUUUACUUCUAAACUUCUGUUUCUCUUAUCCCUGCGGCUUUCCGGCACCUCGCCCCGCCGGCGGGUUCCCGGCUCUGCGCCGCUUCAGCCCGCACGCCUCUCUCAUCUGCGCAGCUUCCCGGCUUUGCGCGGCUCGGCUUCGCGCGCUCCGCGGUCUCCACGCUUAACCCUUUCGCGUCUGAACCACGGCCUACGCCAGCCCCGUUCCCUAUCUAUUCACGCCCCGUGCUCUCUCUGCACGCGGCAGCUUCCGCGAGUAACACAGCGUAGCUUACGUGUCCGCCACUAGCAUUCAAUCUAAGUUCCCCGGGCUAGCCUGGCGAAUUCAACCCAGCGUACGUCUCCGCCCCACGGUUUGGCUUCCCGUCCUUUGCUCCCCGGGCUAAUCAGACGGAUCCCAACCAGGCUCACGUUUCAGCUUCUGGUUUCAACUUUUCGCCCCCUAUUCCCGGGCUAACUUGAGAAUCCCAAAGUGGCUUUCGUGUCCGCCUUGGCCUGCCCCCCGCGGCUUCAAUUUCCCUAACACUUUUCUCUACCCGGUAUGUUUCCCUAAGUUUUCUUCCAACAAUAUUCCUCCCUCAUUUCUCCUGGCC